CUGGCGGCGUGCCUAAUACAUGCAAGUCGAACGGUCUUUCUAUGGAAGCUUGCUUCCACUGAGAAGAUAGUGGCGAACGGGUGAGUAACACGUGGGUAACCUGCCCAUAAGAGGGGGAUAACAUCCGGAAACGGGUGCUAAUACCGCAUAGUUUUCUUGAUCGCAUGAUCGGGAAAGGAAAGACGGCCUUUGUGCUGUCGCUUAUGGAUGGACCCGCGGCGUAUUAGUUAGUUGGUGAGGUAAUGGCUCACCAAGACGAUGAUACGUAGCCGACCUGAGAGGGUGAUCGGCCACAUUGGGACUGAGACACGGCCCAAACUCCUACGGGAGGCAGCAGUAGGGAAUCUUCCGCAAUGGACGAAAGUCUGACGGAGCAACGCCGCGUGAGUGAAGAAAAGGUUUUCGGAUCGUAAAACUCUGUUGUCAGAGAAGAACAAGUUGGAGAGUAACUGCUCCAGCCUUGACGGUAUCUGACCAGAAAGCCACGGCUAACUACGUGCCAGCCGCCGC
rnacentral:rRNA from 1 species